CUCAGGUGUUCCCAUUCCCUAUCAGCACAGAGCACAGACCACUCACCAUGGAGUUUGGGCUCAGCUGCAUUUUCCUUCUGGCUAUUUUAAGAGGUGUCCAGUGUGAUGUGCAGCUGGUGGAAUCUGGAGGAGGCCUGGUGAAGCCUGGGGGAUCUCUGAGACUCUCCUGCACAGCCUCUGGAUUCACGUUUGAUGAUUAUGGCAUGAACUGGGUCCGCCAGGCUCCAGGAAAGGGGCUGGAGUGGGUCUCAUACAUUAAUUGGAAUAGUGGUAGCAUAUACUAUGCCAACUCUGUGAAGGGUCGAUUCACCAUCUCCAGAGAAAACAGCAAGAACACACUCUACCUGCAAAUGGACAGGCUGAGAGCUGAGGACACGGCACUGUAUUACUGUGCUAGAGGCACAGUGAGGGGAAGUCAGUGUAAGGCCAGGCAUAAACCUCCCUUCAGGAAGGGGUUUGACCACCAGAUGGUGUUCAGAGUUCCUGAACACAAGGACCAUCACACGAGCAGCUGCACUUUGGGUUUGUCUGGUUUCCUCUGUGGCUCUUUUUCAUCUGACAGUUCCCUCAGGGAACCUCUGGAUUCCUGA